rnacentral:rRNA from 1 species
GGCAGCAGUAAUGAUUUUUGGACAAUGGGCGCAAGCCUGAUCCAGCAAUGCCGCGUGCGGGAAGAAGGCCUUCGGGUUGUAAUCCGCUUUGGUAGGAGCGAAAAGGUGUGGGCUAAUACCCUGGGGUGAUGACGGUACCUGCAGAAUAAGCACCGGCUAACUACGUCCCCGCAGCCGCGGUAAUAUGUAGGGCGAGAGCGUUAAUGGGAAUUUCUGGGUGUAAAGCGUGUGCAGGCGGUUGUGCAUGACAGGCGUGAAAUCCCCGGUCUUAACCUGGGAAUGGCGGUUGUGACUGCACGACGGGAGUGGGGCAGAGGGGGAGGGAAUUCCGUGUGUAGCAGUGAAAUGCGUAGAUAUGGGGAGGAACCACGAUGGCGAAGGCAGUUCCCUGGGCCUGCAGUGACGGUCAUGCGAGAAAGCGUGGGGAGCACACAGGAUUAGAUCCCGGGGUAGUCCACGCCCUAAGCGAUGUCGUAAGGUUGUUGGGCCUCAGUGCCUCAGUAACGAAGCUAACGCGUGAAGUCGUCCGCCUGGGGAGUACGGCCGCAAGGUUGAAACUCAAAUGAAUUGACGG